AUGGGUUUGAUUUCCAACAGAGUUGAGAGACAUGAGAUAAAACCCGGCGACCAUGUCUACACUUACAGAGCUGUUUUCACUUACUCUCAUCACGGAAUAUUUGUUGGGGGGAGCAAGGUCGUACAUUUCAGGCCUGAUAGAAACUUCAAGUCAGUCACCGACACAUCUUCAAACUUUGACGAUCCAACACCAACUCCAUGUCCAACCUUUCCUGAUUGUGGAUUCCGCCAACCCAAUAGUGGAAAUAAGAGGUGGCACAUGCACUACCGCAUUACCUGA